GAUCUGACGCUGAGGAGCAACUUUUUCCAUCUCUCUCUAACUGAUUACAAAAGAUAAAAAUGAAAUGCCUUUUGAUUUUACUGCUUCUUUUCAACUUCAUCAAUUUGGGUACCAGUCUGAAGUGCUACCAGAAUUCUUUAAGUCCUUUAGAAUGCAAGAUGGAAACAACCAUCUGUGACCCAAAUGAAAUGUGCUUUAAAAAAGUUGGUAAAAUACGAAAAACUUAUAUUGCGAGCCGUGGAUGCAUUUCACAGGAUCAGUGCCAGAAAACCAAUAUUGGGGAAUUUGCUGGAAUAAGAGUUUCCUUAAGAACAUUGUGUUGUGAAAAACAGUUAUGUAACAGAAGUAUGGAUGUGAAAACCUCACUUAAGAUGGGCUCCGUUUUGGUGUUUGGAUGGUUAAUAUGUUUUCUGUAGAGACCCAGUUUCUUGGAUGCUGCACCUUGUGUGGCAUAGUUAUUUUGGAGAAUGCCCAUUAGCAAGCGCUGUGAAAAUUAGAAUAUGUCCAUGAAGAAAUUCAGCAAAAAAAAUCAAGUACAAUAACAUAUUGAGGGACAGCCCACCACGGGUUCCCUUAGUUAUUUGUUGUAUUCCUGUUGACAUGGACAGCUAGUUCAUCCAAUUUUAAAAAUAGAUCACAGGGCAGCUUGAAACUUCACAAGUUUUAAGUGCAGCUGUGAUACCGUAAAUGCAUAGAAAAAUUUUUAAAAGCACUUUUAUGUACAUUGUAUUUUUUUUUUACUCAUCACAACUCUAAAUAAUAUCUUGUUUUAAAACUCGGGGUGGUGUGACAAAUAAUUAAAACCCUUCCUCAAACUUUUAUUGGUUAAUUUUCACUGGUCAGCAGUUCAGCUUGCUCCAUACCCUCGAAAGAGGAUAUCAACAUUCUUAGAAGCACGUAGUGACAAAUGUGAGUUUAGCCAGUAAGCAAAAAGUGUAAAGAGGUGCUUCCCAGUUUUAAAGAGAAAUACUCACGUGGCCUCCAAUUGCUGGGGGCAGAAAUUCUCCUUAAAUGCUAUUUUUGUGGCACUCUGGUUCAUAUGAUCAUGUGAAAUUCCUUUGUGGCCCCUGUUUUCCAAACUUGUUUAUACGCCAUUAUUAAAAUAGCAUGAAAUGAAAAUUUAAUUCUGAAAUGAAUGUGUAGAGCAAUUCUGCCCUCCAGUAGUUCCUAUUUGGAUAGAGGUUAACAGAUUUUUCUUAGACUCGGAAGGAAUCACCAUAAUUAAGAGUAUAAAGCAAUUACGUGUUCCCCUGUCUCCAGCUAAUGGAUUUCCAGGAUUCCUGAUGGAGGAGAAUGUAGAUGUCAUGGACACUGCCUCCUUUUCUCAUUCAUUAUCAUAAAUUUUACAGACCCACCAGCCUAAUGUCACGGCCAUUUAUCAGUACAAGAACAAGGAAACACCCCAAUAAUGUACUCACUGUCCUGCAGUUCAGCCCAUUUGCUUCACCUUUGGUCCUACCUGUUGACAACACAUCUUCAUUAAGUUCUUUUUACAAAGUGGGGUUGGUACACAAAUCUCUAGCUAAGGCCCAGACUUUUGAGUUUAACUUCAUAAAGCCUUGAGAUACUUCAGAAUGAAAUGAAAAGCCCCUAAGUGGAUAUUUAGCUCUGCUUUCAUUUUGCUGUUUCUUAUUUUCAUAAAGGUAUGGUAAGCCGCUAUCGAUUGCAUGCUAACUGUUUCACUCAGUUCAGUAGAACUGCUCGUUUAUAUAGAAACACCUGGUAGAGUCGAGGCAGGCAUAGUCAGAUGGUACCAUUUGAAAUGCCUUCUUGUGAUUUCUGCUCAUUGUAAAUAAAACCCCUUCAUCUAAAGAGUAACAACGAUCUGCAGUUGGUGAGUAUUGGAAAAUUUCAGAUAUGCAUUUCGUAGUUAAGGACAACAUGUUUGAUUCCUGAGUACAAAGAAACAUGAUGAGCAGGUACAUCCACAGUCUGCUAUGGUCUAGAUUCUGCCCUUUGUAACUUUACCCAUCAGGUGGCAGAUUGCUGAGUCUUCCAUUCAGACCCAGCUCUGUUCUCCUUCUAACAUUGCUGUUUGCCUCUGGAAAAGUGGGAAUCAGUCAUUGCCUUGCCAACUGUGGUAGCUGCCUGUUAUUUGCCCAUGGGCUUUCUAGGUGUGGCAUGACACUGCUUUAACUUGCCUUACCACUAAUAGUUUGGCACUUCUUAUAUACCCUUACAAACAACCCAUCACCCAAAGGCAUGGAAACUACAUGAAUACUGACUUGAUAAUUCAAUAACUUUUAAGUUUCUGUUCCUAUUCAUCAGUGCAAAACAAGAUCUGUAGACCCAAAGAAAAUGCCAUUCCCUAAAGAAGACACUCAGAAUUUUACAGUCAAAUUCAAUUUGAAGACCUCACAAUAUUAUUUAGGCUUGUAGGAACAUUAGCAAACACAUUUUUCCCUCAUCUGGAGAAAAUCAGUUUAUUUUCUAUCAUAUUUUCUAGUUGAAACUUAACUUUUUUGAUGGAAACUUGUUCUAUUAAACUACAGUGAACUACAGAAACUGUUUUAGUUUGAUUUGUUUUAUUGAUAUUCCUUUGUGUGAUAUUAUAACACUGUCCAGUUGACAGUAUGUGUAUGUUGUUAUGAUUGUGAUGGAAGAAU